UCCUUUGUGUGCUCUGUGACAGUUUUCUUUACUUUGGGUUUGCGUUUUGAUUUUGGUGUCUUUUUGUCUUCCUCUACCACUGGUGUGAGUUCUGGUAUUACUGGCUUUGUUUCCUCAUGAAGUGAAGGUUUGUGUUCAUCUGGCACAGGUGUUGGCUUUUGUGCAGGUGUUGUUUUUUCAGAAGUAGGUGUGGGUUUCUCCUCAACUGUAAGUGGUAUGGGUUUCUCCUUAAAGGGAGUAGGUGUGGGUUUCUCCUCAACUGUAAGUGGUAUGGGUUUCUCCUUAACGGGAGUAGGUGUGGGUUUCUCCUCAACAGGGGUAGGUGUGGGUUUCUCCUCAUCUGUAAGUGGUGUGGGUUUCUCCUUAACGGGAGUAGGUGUGGGUUUCUCCUCAACAGGGGUAGGUGUGGGUUUCUCCUCAACAGGUGUUGGUGUGGGUUUCUCCUCAACAGGUGUAGGUGUGGGUUUCUCCUCAACAGGUGUUGGUGUGGGUUUCUCCUCAACAGGUGUUGGUGUGGGUUUCUCCUCAACAGGAGUAGGUGUGGGUUUCUCCUCAACAGGGGUAGGUGGUAUUGUUUUUUCAGGUGUGAGUGUUGGUUGCAUAUCUGUUAUUUGUUCUGUUAUUUCUUCAAUCUGUGUAACUGUUACCUCUAUCAGUGUCUCCUUAG